rnacentral:tRNA from 1 species
GGGGUUGUGGCUCAGUGGUAGAGUCCUUGCCUAGCAAGUGAGAGACACUGGGUUCGAUUUUCAGCACCUUA